UACGUAGGGUGCGAGCGUUGUCCGGAAUUAUUGGGCGUAAAGAGCUCGUAGGCGGUUUGUCACGUCUGCUGUGAAAUCCCGAGGCUCAACCUCGGGCCUGCAGUGGGUACGGGCAGACUGGAGUGCGGUAGGGGAGAAUGGAAUUCCUGGUGUAGCGGUGGAAUGCGCAGAUAUCUGGAGGAACACCGGUGGCGAAGGCGGCAUCCUGGACCAACACUGACGCUGAGGAGCGAAAGCCAGGGGAGCAAACGGG
rnacentral:rRNA from 1 species